rnacentral:rRNA from 1 species
AACGAACGCUGGCGGCAUGCCUAACACAUGCAAGUCGAACGAGACCUUCGGGUCUAGUGGCGCACGGGUGCGUAACGCGUGGGAACCUGCCCUUAGGUUCGGAAUAACUCCCCGAAAGGGGUGCUAAUACCGGAUAAUGUCUUCGGACCAAAGAUUUAUCGCCUUUGGAUGCCCGCGUUGGAUUAGCUAGUUGGUAGGGUAAAAGCCUACCAAGGCGACGAUCCAUAGCUGGUCUGAGAGGAUGAUCAGCCACACUGGGACUGAGACACGGCCCAGACUCCUACGGGAGGAAGCAGUGUGGAAUAUUGGACCAGGGGCGAAAGCCUGAUCCAGCAAUGCCGGGUGAGUGAUGAAGGCCUUAGGGUUGUAAAGCUCUUUUACCCGGGAUGAUAAUGACAGUACCGGGAGAAUAAGCUCCGGCUAACUCCGUG